rnacentral:rRNA from 1 species
AUUGAACGCUGGCGGCAGGCUUAACACAUGCAAGUCGAGCGAGUGGCGGAAGGGUGAGUAAUGUUUGGGAAACUGCCCGACGGAGGGGGAUAACUACUGGAAACGGUAGCUAAUACCGCAUACAUUCGGAUGCGCCCAGAUGGGAUUAGCUAGUAGGGGGGGUAACGGCUGACCUAGGCGACGAGCCCUAGCUGGACUGCGAGGAUGAUCAGCCACGCUGGGACUGAGACACGGCCCAGACUCCUACGGGAGGCAGCAGUGGGGAAUAUUGCACAUUGGGCGCAACCCUGACGCAGCCAUGCCGCGUGAAUGAAGAAGGCCUUCAGGUUGUAAAGUUCUUUCGGUAGCGAGGCGUUAACUACAGAAGAAGCACCGGCUAACUCCGUGCCAGCAGCCGCGGUAAUAC